GGAGAUGUAAUUGCAUCGACAGAAAAUGCACUUUAAAAAACUGCAAGCCGGCUUUGAUUAACAGCCGUAAAACAAAAUCAAAAAAAACAUGCCAAUACAUUCGGCAGUGCUUUAAGAAAUGUCCUAGCUCUUGCUGGGGCUAAUCUUUCGAGAGUUGAAAGUGGUGUCGGUUAUUCUACCGGUAGCAAUUUCAAUUUAAAUCUUGCUGUAGCUUAGGCUUAAGCGAGAGAGUCAUCCUUUUAUUUUCUAUUCCAGAGGGAAUAAGUAAGGGUGUCAACUAAACUGGAACACGAUAAUUUGAGUCUCGAUUCUUGAAUUAUUUAAGAGUGAGUAGAAUCACAAACAAUCGACACUUUGGAAAAAUUGACUUGUUUUGUUUUUCAAAGAUUAAGUUUUAAGCAAGUUAAGCUUGUAGUAAGUUUUUUAAAUCGUUUUUUGGACCUCGGGUCAUACCUGAGCAUCUCCUCCU
rnacentral:tmRNA from 1 species